UACGAGGGGGGCGAGCGUUGUUCGGAAUUAUUGGGCGUAAAGGGCGCGUAGGCGGUGCGGUAAGUCUGAUGUGAAAUCUCCGGGCUCAACUCGGAGUCUGCAUCAGAAACUGCCGUGCUCGAGUGUGGGAGAGGUGAGUGGAAUUCCCGGUGUAGCGGUGAAAUGCGUAGAUAUCGAGAGGAACACCAGUGGCGAAGGCGAGUCCCUGGACAAUACCUGACACUGAGGCACGAAAGCUAGGGGAGCAAACAGG
rnacentral:rRNA from 1 species